rnacentral:rRNA from 1 species
CCUACGGGGGGCAGCAGUGAGGAAUAUUGGUCAAUGGCCGAGAGGCUGAACCAGCCAAGUCGCGUGAGGGAAGACGGCCCUACGGGUUGUAAACCUCUUUUGUCGGGGAGCAAAGCGAGUCACGCGUGACUCAUUGAGAGUACCCGAAGAAAAAGCAUCGGCUAACUCCGUGCCAGCAGCCGCGGUAAUACGGAGGAUGCGAGCGUUAUCCGGAUUUAUUGGGUUUAAAGGGAGCGUAGGUGGAUUGUUAAGUCAGUUGUGAAAGUUUGCGGCUCAACCGUAAAAUUUCAGUUGAAACUGGCAGU